AUUGAACGCUGGCGGCAUGCCUUACACAUGCAAGUCGAACGGCAGCACGGGAGCUUGCUCCUGGUGGCGAGUGGCGAACGGGUGAGUAAUAUAUCGGAACGUACCCUAGAGUGGGGAUAACGCAGCGAAAGUUGCGCUAAUACCGCAUACGAUCUACGGAUGAAAGUGGGGGAUCGCAAGACCUCAUGCUCAUGGAGCGGCCGAUAUCUGAUUAGCUAGUUGGUGGGUAAAGGCCUACCAAGGCUUCGAUCAGUAGCUGGUCUGAGAGGACGACCAGCCACACUGGAACUGAGACACGGUCCAGACUCCUACGGGAGGCAGCAGUGGGGAAUUUUGGACAAUGGGCGAAAGCCUGAUCCAGCAAUGCCGCGUGAGUGAA
rnacentral:rRNA from 1 species